CCUUGUUGCCAGGAUGUGCCAUAGAAUUGCGGAAAUUAGAAUUUUCAACGUUCAAACGCUGUAUUUAGCUUACAUUAUAAAUUUUAUGUACUCUGGUCGCCACCAAUAUUCAGGGUAUCUCAAGUAGCCAAUAAAAUAAAAGAUUCAUACUCAAAAUAGCGAUUUUGAGCCAAAUCUGCAGCAGAAAUGAAAGUACUGAACAUCAGAGAAAAACAUGCUUGGCAUCAAGAAGA